GGGUAGUUUGACUGGGGCGGUCUCCUCCCAAAGAGUAACGGAGGAGCACGAAGGUUGGCUAAUCCUGGUCGGACAUCAGGAGGUUAGUGCAAUGGCAUAAGCCAGCUUAACUGCGAGACGGACAGGUCGAGCAGGUACGAAAGUAGGUCAUAGUGAUCCGGUGGUUCUGAAUGGAAGGGCCAUCGCUCAACGGAUAAAAGGUACUCCGGGGAUAACAGGCUGAUACCGCCCAAGAGUUCAUAUCGACGGCGGUGUUUGGCACCUCGAUGUCGGCUCAUCACAUCCUGGGGCUGAAGUCGGUCCCAAGGGUAUGGCUGUUCGCCAUUUAAAGUGGUACGCGAGCUGGGUUCAGAACGUCGUGAGACAGUUCGGUCCCUAUCUGCCGUGGGCGUUGGAUGAUUGAAGGGAGUUGCUCCUAGUACGAGAGGACCGGAGUGAACGAACCUCUGGUGUUCGGGUUGUCACGCCAGUGGCACUGCCCGGUAGCUAAGUUCGGAAUCGAUAACCGCUGAAAGCAUCUAAGCGGGAAGCGAGCCCUGAGAUGAGUCAUCCCUGACCCCUUGAGGGUCCUAAAGGGCCGUUGGAGACCACAACGUUGAUAGGUGGGGUGUGUAAGCGCGGCGACGUGUUGAGCUAACCCAUACUAAUUACCCGUGAGGCUUAACCAU
rnacentral:rRNA from 1 species